ACUCAGGCAGUGCAGCUCCCCUCCCACUCUUAGAGCCAUAACUGAGUCCCAUAUGUAUAUAUUUGUUAUAACAUUGCAUUGGCCAUGAAUCAUCACUUUAUUUUGCAGAUGCUACAUUAUACAUGUACAUUAUACUUAAGAUCAUAUUUCCUUUUGUAAAGAUGUAACCACCUUAUGUAAAAUUGAGCAAAAUGCUUAAAACAGUUCAGGCACAUUAUGUGAGGAAAAUAUACACACUGAAAAUGUGUUGUGGUUACAGAAGUCUUUCCCAGGCCUAUGUCCUUCAGUCCUGCAUCUCAGGAUAUAAGAUACUCUAGAUCUGCUAUAAGCUGUACAAAGGGAAACUGUCUCUACAAU